rnacentral:rRNA from 1 species
UGCGUAGGCGGUCGGGUAAGUCUGAUGUGAAAUCUCCAAGCUCAACUUGGAAAUGGCAUCGGAUACUAUUCGGCUCGAGGAAUGGAGGGGAGACUGGAAUACUUGGUGUAGCAGUGAAAUGCGUAGAUAUCAAGUGGAACACCAGUGGCGAAGGCGGCUAUCUGGCUCACAACUGACGAUCAGGCACGAAAGCGUGGGAGCAAACA